rnacentral:tRNA from 2 species
AGGAUUAUAUUUAAUUAUAAUAAUUGAUUUGCAAUCAAUAAGUGCUGAUAAAGCUAAUCUUA